rnacentral:tRNA from 1 species
UAACGGAAAACAAAAAUUUGUAUUUAAUUUCGACUUAAACUUUUGGUAAUAAAAAUUACCUCCGUUA